rnacentral:snoRNA from 1 species
GGGAUUCUUACAUUGACUGCAUAGCCUACCUACCCCAUACAUACUUCAGCCUAGGUCCUGUGCCUGAUCUGUAAUGUGAAUUAAGAGACAUGG